rnacentral:rRNA from 1 species
UACGUAGGGGCUAGCGUUAUCCGGAAUUACUGGGCGUAAAGGGUGCGUAGGUGGUUUCUUAAGUCAGAGGUGAAAGGCUACGGCUCAACCGUAGUAAGCCUUUGAAACUGAGAAACUUGAGUGCAGGAGAGGAGAGUAGAAUUCCUAGUGUAGCGGUGAAAUGCGUAGAUAUUAGGAGGAACACCAGUGGCGAAGGCGACUAUCUGGACAGUAACUGACGCUGAGGCGCGAAAGCGUGGGGAGCAAACAGGAUUAGAUACCCCGGUAGUCCCUGAG